rfam:Alternaria alternata strain SRC1lrK2f unplaced genomic scaffold CC77scaffold_15, whole genome shotgun sequence.
GCGUAAUAUGAUGUCGAAUGUUAUCAUUCAGUUAUCCCUGUCUGAAAACUAUUGUUGAAAACUUACUAUUCUGAUUUGCGU